rnacentral:rRNA from 1 species
UACAGAGACUGCAAGCGUUAUUCGGAUUCACUGGGCGUAAAGGGCGCGCAGGCGGCUCAGACAGUCAGAUGUGAAAGCCCCGGGCUUAACCUGGGAACUGCAUUUGAUACUACUGAGCUUGAGUACGGGAGAGGAUAGUGGAAUUCCCAGUGUAGAGGUGAAAUUCGUAGAUAUUGGGAAGAACACCGGUGGCGAAGGCGGCUAUCUGGACCGUAACUGACGCUGAAGGCGCGAAAGCGUGGGGAGCAAACAGG